rnacentral:misc_RNA from 1 species
AGAUAUGAGUUUUUAGUGUUUAUGAUGAAAACUGAAAGGAUGUAUCAUAUUAUUGGACAGCAAAACACUCACAGUGGCAAAAAGGGAGGGGAAAGGGUUGGCUUUUUCGAUCACAUUGAAGGUUGAUUCCUCUCUGAUAAAAACACUGGAAAGGUUAUCUGGCAAAAGGGAAAAAAUCUGUUGGAAGAAGGAAUAUGAUCUUCUCCUAGCCUAACCACACAACUGGGUCCAAAGUCAUACAAUCAACUUGUAUCUUUACUCUGGUAGUUUCAAGCGAUUGAAGAGUACAAGAAAGCUGUGCUCCGGAAUGACAUAAAGAAAGCCAAGGUCUGCACCUUUGAGGUGUGGCCCCAUUCCCUUUCCAUUGAGUUGUAGAAGCUCUCCCUCAACCCACCUUGGGUUUUUGAAACCAUAUUCAGCUAUUCUUCCUUGACCCUUGUAACCAGCAAGCACACCAAGUUCAUCUGGAUACAUCCCCCUGUUGGACAAGCGACUUCCUUUACUUAUUUUAGCUCGAAAUGUCACCUCGCCAGCAGGCACAUUGAUAUCCCCUGUUAGCUUUACCGCCUCAACAUACUCAAAGAACUCCACAUUAGAGGAUUUUUCAGCAUCAUUUACAUUCCAGUUACCAUACUUCCGCCUUAAUUGCACUACCUCAGUUCCAUAAGGUCCAAAUGCACCAACAUAUAGACCUUCAAAAGGAUCUAAAUCCCCAGGAGAGGUUAUUCGACUAAAACUUGUGUAUUCAGAUAAUUUGUAUCGCUUCUGUGCCUGAGUAACUGCAAGCUUUAGCAUCUCCUUAACAUCUCUAGAAACUUUUGAAGAAGCUUUAUCAGAACUCCAAAAUGCCUUGGCCACAUCAGGAGGCAUUAGUUCAGAGAUACUCUGAGCUGCAAUAGCUGCCUCAUUAAUGCUUGACGCAGUAUUUUCUUCAGCAUCAUGUUCUCCAGGUCUCUUGGGGAUGUGAAGCACAAAGGAAUCCUUUGCCACAUCUUUGAUCUCAACAGGGAAACGAACAAACUCAUCCUUUAAUGGAUUGUCUUCUUUAUUAUGUAAUACACCCCCUACAAAAAGCUUGGUAUCUACAGUUUUUCCUUCUUCACUUGUGCCGCUAUCUCCUCCUACUGUAACUCGGUCGGAAUUCAUGUUAUCCAAAUCAGUAGUUGUUUCAUCUGUCUCCUCACUGGAAAUAGUGUUGUCAUCUUCUUCUUCCAGAAAUUGCUUCACUGAAUCACCAUCAUCUGUCAUUUCUUCAGUAAUAUUGACUUUCAUUACUUUCACUUUCAGAUCAG